AAGUCCUUCUCUGUUCGUCAGUAACUAAGUUAAAACAUGGGUUUCUCUGUCUUCUUCCAGAACAAGAACAUCUUUGUGAUUGUUUUGUUUUUAUCUUUUUUCUUGGCUGCUGAAACGAGGCCCUUGGGAGACCAGCAAUGGCUGAAAAUGGAGGAAGGGCUACUGUUUCAAUCUCUACAGCAAAGUUCUCGUCCCAAUCCAUGCAGCAACGUCCCUGGACAAGGCUCAGGCAUUUGCACCAGGAAAGUGGCUGGGAAUCAUAUUGGACGUGUACCUUCUGCGUUUCCUAACCUUAUCAUGGACGGUGCAGUAGCUUCGUCCAUUAGCGAUACUAAACAAGAUUCAUCUUCUUAACCUAAUAAUUAUUAAUCGUACAUGUGCAGUGGACCUUCUGGAGC
rnacentral:lncRNA from 1 species